ensembl:lncRNA
CGAUAAACCGGCCUGAGGAGGAAGUGCCCCUUACUACAUCUGGUCAGACCCCCCUCUCUCUUUCCUGUCACCCCCCGGCACCUCGUCCUCCCCCAUCCGGUCACUCCUUCCAUUCCUGUCCACCUCCCCACCUGCCCUGUCACUGCCUUGUCUCCCAGGUAACAGGAGGGGGAGAAUUUCUAAUAAGGACGACAGGCCAUGUCGCCUCCUCACCAAAAGCACCUUAAUGCCUCCUCAUGGCCUUCAAGUGAAGUUCAGUUUCCUCACACUGGUCUAUGAGGUCCUGCAGGAUCCAGACCCCUCCCACGUCACCUCAGCCGCACGGGGAUUUUCUCAUUUCCAAACCUAUCAAGUGUCAGGGCCCUUGUCCUUUGCUGUUCCCUUUGCCUGGAGCAGCCUUCUCCAGAUAUUAUGUAAGUGAUUCCCUAAGUUCAUAUGGGUUGUUUCUCAAAUGUCACCUCUUCCAAGAAGCCUUCCUUGAGCAUCGGAUCUGAGGUCACCAUGGAGGCUGAAUCCCUUCUCCUGCACCUCAAUGAGAGAAAAACGACAAAGUUGGCCACCCACCCAACCUUUCAGACUUCUCCUGGGAAGCAGGAGGCCACCGCCUGACAGACAGCUCAGAUGAGAGGCAGAGCACCUGGAAGACAUCACUAUGAGGGCGAAAGAAGCC